rnacentral:rRNA from 1 species
UCGGAGGGGGCAUUACUGAGUUACCGCUCUAUAACCCUUUGUGCAACAUACCUACAACUGUUGCUUCGGCGGGUAGGCCGUCCCCUGAAAAGGACGCCUCCCGGCCCGGACCGGACCCCCCGCGGGACCGGACCCGGCGCCCGCCGGAGGAUAACCAAACUCUAUUGUAACGACGUUUCUUCUGAGUGGCAUAAGCAAAAUAAUCAAAACUUUUAACAACGGAUCUCUUGGUUCUGGCAUCGAUGAAGAACGCAGCGAAAUGCGAUAAGUAAUGUGAAUUGCAGAAUUCAGUGAAUCAUCGAAUCUUUGAACGCACAUUGCGCCCGCCAGCAUUCUGGCGGGCAUGCCUGUUCGAGCGUCAUUUCAACCCUCAAGCUCUGCUUGGUGUUGGGGCUCUACGGUCGACGUAGGCCCUCAAAGGUAGUGGCGGACCCUCCCGGAGCCUCCUUUGCGUAGUAACAUUUCGUCUCGCACUGGGAUCCGGAGGGACUCUUGCCGUAAAACCCCCCAAUUUUCCAAAGGUUGACCUCGGAUCAGUAGGAAUACCCGCUGAACUUAAGCAUAUCAUU